rnacentral:tRNA from 1 species
GGGCCAAUAGCUCAAUUGGUAGAGCAGUGGACUCUUAAUCCAUUGGUUUCGGGUUCAAGUCCCGGUUGGCCCACCA